UUUUGAAACUUAAAAUAAGAAAAUGUUAGGCACGGUUUUGCCAACUGUGAGCUGCGUUUCAUGGUGAUUGUAGACAGAAGCAUGUUAGGAUCGGAUUCAUCAACAAUUGAUUAUCCAGGAAGAAUUCCUUCGGACAAGAGAUCCGAAAUGAUGUUGCGGCCAUUAGUGAAAAUUUUGCUAAUGACAAGCCUGUUUCUGGGUCCUCUUGAUCAGUACCCAAUGAAAAUGAUCAGUAGCUUCAUCAGCUAUUAAAUGGCCAUUCGUCUUGAAAUGCCAGCAAUCCCAAAUCGAUGACUAUGAGGAACUGAAACAUGGUAAUGCUACUGUUUAUGUUCUGAAUUAAUUAAAUAGCAAGUUUUUAUGACAUGAUCUGGAAGGCUAAAUGUCAGUCCCCCGGAAUCGGCUACACAUCUCGUUUCUUGAUAUUUCUUUCUUUUCAAUCUCUAUCCGAAAAAGGAAAGAAGAGAUGACUAGGAAUUCACAAUAUAUCGAUAACUCGAUAAGGUUUUAAUUGAUUAAGAGCAGUUGCAGUUGAAUACAAACUAAAAGGAGGAUACAUAGUGUAGAAAGACUCGGAUAACGAGUUUAAUUAGUCUUCAUAAAAUAGAUUUUCUACGAUAAUCAGUGUCCCUUUAAAACAUCAAAAUAUGAUGCUGGCUUCUUAGUCUCAGAACGCAGUGCCUGAAUAUCCAAAAUCAGUGUGAUGUUAGUACGGUGCAUGUUGACAACUUUUGCAUCAUGCAUGUUUUGGUUAAAUGUACCUCGCAGGCAGCAGCCAAACGCAGAAUUGUAGCUUCGCCCCAUGGGCGGCCUAUGAUCUGCAAACCGAUUGGAAGACCUUGCUUGUCAUAACCAACCUGUAACAGUUUGAUUACUAACGUCAAAACUUUGGAGGCACAAAUGUUAUAAAGGCAAGGCCAGUAUUCUACUAUAGUCAAGGGUAUCUACAUACCCGGUCGUUGGAGUAACUAUGACGUCGACUGUCUUGAAGAUCUCCAUGUGAUAGUACAUCACCCUGCGCCUGCAAUUGCAAUCGACCAUGUUACAUAGUAUGUCUGUUGUAGUACGGGUUUCGUAUGGGUAACAGUUUUCCUUUAUAAAGGCUCGCCAUAAGUAAAGAAAUUGAAAUUAUUUGACCUUUAACAGUCUAAACUUGACUCUAAUUGGAAAAAAAAAAACAAAGAAAAGCUCAAGACCUGAGACGCUGGGCUGCAACAUAGUCUGAAGCUGUGAAUGAGCGGAAAAGUGCAAGAUUAGUGCGAGUGUCCAGUCAUAGCAUACCCGCUCUGACAGUGAGGUGUAAGUGCGGCUAAUGCUUCAGAACCAAUGGAAACAAGAUGGGAUGUUCGUGUCUGGUGAAGCUCAGCCAUAAGUUUGUGAUAAGAGAUUCAGAAUAUCUUCACACUUGGUUGAAAUGUCAGGAGAAGCUCCUAAAAUAGCUGCAUACCUAAAGAAAUCGAUGAAUAGUAGUCGGUUACUUAAGUAGACAGACAGACAGACAGACAGAGAGAGAGUGUGUUACUUACACCAGCAUGAUAUCCUCAACACUGGAUGCAAUUGGUCCUAUAAUUUCUAAGGUCCCUCCAUCAUAUAAUGCCCUGAGAAUUCAAUAUGAUUAUGAAGAUAACAACUAGUGCGCUACCUGGUAAUAUAUAAUCUCUUAAUGUACAAUUACAUGAAGGAAGUUAGGUUACCCUUUGAUGUCGGUACGCCCAAAUGUUGUUUUCAAUCCCACAACACCGCAAAGAGAAGAGGGAAUACGGACUGAACCUGUGAUAAUUAACAAACUGAACAUAUUCCCGAAGCUACAAUUGCCGCUGGUCCUGAUGAAGAUCCACCUGUAUACCUCUCCGCAUUAUGCGGGUUUCGUGUUGUGCUAAAACACCAGUUUCAGAACUUUAAUCAAAGGAAAUAACUACAAGUUAUAAACCACUAUAUGUUAAUCAACUAAACCUUACCCAUUGUUUGGGUUAUUUCCAGUAGUCCCUUGUCCAAAUUCAUGCAUAUUAGCCUUCCCAACGAAAAUCACCCCACAGCUCCUUAACCUUGAUACACAAACUGCAUCCUUGUCAACAGUACGCACCUCAUCAAACCAUAUCGUCCCACCUGUUUAAAUAACCAAUUUCCAUCUAUAUGUCAUUGGUGGCACCAGGCAGGUAUUAAAUUAAUACUCAUUUAGAUGUAUACCCUUUGAUGGAUGGGGAUAGCAAUCUAUAUCAUCCUUGAUUGCCAUGAAGAUACCAUCCAAAGCUGACAAUGGUUUUCCUACACAACCAUAUACUAUUUUAGACAUGGAAUGGAUAUAAAUGAAUGCACCUUCCUCAAACCGUUGGGUUGAAGCUGCAGCCUGCUUUCUAACAUCUUCAGCAUUGAAAGAAACCAACUGUGGUGUUGGGGGUUUCUUAUUAUUGUUAAAUUCUUCAAUAGCAGAAAUCACGUACUCUGCGACCUGUUAAAUGGUAUAUAUAUGAGUAGGCUAUUGGCAGGGGCAACCUGUAUGUGAUUGUGACAUACCCUUACUGGCGUUGUGAUCCUUGACCUGUAUGAAUAUGCAUAAUCACGAAUCUUCCAGUAGCGAAAUGAUGGGGUCAAACCAGAACUCCUGCUAGCAGAAGCAGGAUCAUAUUGGGGAAGACAUCUAACGCUCGAAUCAACUCGGUCUUGAGAUGUACCAUCUUCUAUGAGACAAACCACUCCUGAUUCUUGUUCUAAUUUCAGAAUAAAACAAGAGGGGAUUACUUCAUGAGGGAGCUUACUUCGGAUUACUAUGCUCGUUUCGGUAGUUUUCUUAUUCAUAUAAUAUUUAUUGUAGUAAAUUGUGAUAGAUAUACAUUAAAAACGAAGUAAUCGGGUAAUCCAUUUCAUUGUGUUGUGCAUGGCUCGGUUAUUAUCCUCAACCGAAGCCGAAACCAAAUUA
rnacentral:lncRNA from 1 species